rnacentral:ncRNA from 1 species
GAUAAAACAAUGAGAAGAUGAGUAACCAGCAUACCCUGCAAAGCGAGUUCCGGUUGGUGCAAUGGAAUCAGCGGUAUUUGGUGAAGAUGGUCUUUGAGCAAAAUCAUGGUAAGCAAUCGCAAGCCGGGAUUGGGUGCUGCCCACUAUUGCAGCUGUGUGACCGUUAUGGGCACACUAAGCGACCUCGCGUGGCGGGGUAAUUAAGGUGGUACCGCGAAGAUCAAUCGUCCUUAGA